GACGAACGCUGGCGGCGUGCUUAACACAUGCAAGUCGAACGGAAAGGCCCUGCUUUUGUGGGGUGCUCGAGUGGCGAACGGGUGAGUAACACGUGAGUAACCUGCCCUUGACUUUGGGAUAACUUCAGGAAACUGGGGCUAAUACCGGAUAGGAGCUCCUGCUGCAUGGUGGGGGUUGGAAAGUUUCGGCGGUUGGGGAUGGACUCGCGGCUUAUCAGCUUGUUGGUGGGGUAGUGGCUUACCAAGGCUUUGACGGGUAGCCGGCCUGAGAGGGUGACCGGCGACAAUGGGACUGAGAUACGGCCCAGACUCCUACGGGAGGCAGCAGUGGGGAAUAUUGCACAAUGGGCGGAAGCGUGAUGCAGCAACGCCGCGUGCGGGAUGACGGCCUUCGGGUUGUAACCCGCUUUCGCCUGUGACGAAGCGUGAGUGACGGUAAUGGGUAAAGAAGCACCGGCUAACUACGUG
rnacentral:rRNA from 1 species